CAGACCGACGAUCUAGGCUGCAUGGACAGAACACCAGGUCCAAUAAACUGAAAGCAUGAGACGCGUGCACAGACUGAGCUAUCCAACCACCUUAUUG